rnacentral:lncRNA from 1 species
GUUAGGAAGGGUCCCAGGAGGUAGACCCACACAGAUGGGAUUUGGGCAUAGGUUUGGUUUCCCAGGGGGCAGUGCUGAGCUCUUUGCCAGUGGGAAAUGGGAUGCUGGUGAUUUCCAGUAGGUGACCUCACAGUGACUCAAGCUACCACUUACUGUUGAUUGUGACGAAAUGCCAGCUGAGGCACAUGCCUUGGGAGCUAAGUGGUUGCUGCCCUGGACCACUGUGAAGACUGGUGUGGGAA